GGGCACUUAUCUUUAAAAGGCUGCCAAAAUUUCUCUAUGAGCUACUGAAGAAUACUCAGCACACUUUGAAGAGAUGCCUGACUCCCCAUGUCCUCGUGUUGAUAUGCCAGACCUAGUUCAGAGGCAGGAGAAGCCUAUUCAAUUCCACGGUGCCUUUCAAAAUAUUCACUAACUAAUGGACAAAGAAGAUGUGGUAUAUAUACAACAGAAUAUUACUUGGCCAUACAAAAGGAUGAAAUGUUGCCAUCUGCAACAACAUGGAUGGACCUGCUGGGUAUUAAGCUUAAUGAAAUGUUUAAGCGACUCGUUUUCAGGGGAGCGCAUGCGUCUUGGGAGUGUGCUUACUGAAUACAGGGUCCCUAUCUGGAUCUGGCCGAAGGAUACCCGCUCUUUCCCUUGGGAUCUGCCUGCUUCUGUUACGAAGACUAUUGCUCCAAAACAGCUGCUCUGGGUGGCUCCUGUCCGCUGGCCUGAUGUCCUUGAGAUCCAAAGAGCAGUUCUAAGUAGAUGAGCAGCAUUUCAUUAUUUGUAAAAGGGAGGAGGGGGGACCCUUACACUUCGUGGCUCUUUGCCGAAGAAGCUGAAUUUAUAUGAGAAGGGCUCCAAUUCAGUCCAUCUCUAGUUACUUGUGGUUAUGUUGAAGGGGAAAGCGUGGUCAGAGAUGAAUGAAAUUCACAGAGUGCUCGGGAACCACAUUUUAUUUGACCUCUGCUCUUUCACCAGUUUAAAUUGUUAAAAAGGACUC